AAAUUGAAGAGUUUGAUCAUGGCUCAGAUUGAACGCUGGCGGCAGGCCUAACACAUGCAAGUCGAACGGUAACAGGAAACAGCUUGCUGUUUCGCUGACGAGUGGCGGACGGGUGAGUAAUGUCUGGGAAACUGCCUGAUGGAGGGGGAUAACUACUGGAAACGGUAGCUAAUACCGCAUAACGUCGCAAGACUAAAGAGGGGGACCUUCGGGCCUCUUGCCAUCGGAUGUGCCCAGAUGGGAUUAGCUUGUUGGUGGGGUAACGGCUCACCAAGGCGACGAUCCCUAGCUGGUCUGAGAGGAUG
rnacentral:rRNA from 1 species